rnacentral:lncRNA from 1 species
CGCAACUCAGCUUAGCUAGAUUUCAAUUCUAGUUCACCACAAUUUUCCCGACCAUCCCGGCUCCCUGAUGCGGUGCACAGUACAGGCUGUACUGCCCUGGUGCCUUCAGCACAACCGAGUAUGUCUCUCCCGGCGCGUUCAAGAGAUCAUUCUCGUCCAUAGACAGAGACCCAGCAUUAACUCCAGAUGGAACCUCAUCUUCGUCAAACACCACGUUGUGUGGGAAUCCGGUGUUGUUUUUGAACACCAGUUUGUCUCCAGCAUUGAUCUUCACCAUACUUGGGACGAACGCCAAAUCCCCAUCGUUGCUACCAAGCAAAACCUCCACAUCCGCGGCCAUGGCUGUGCUUGCAAACAUCACUGUGGCUGCUGUGGCUACGACUGCUGCACCAACAUCCUUCAGAGAUGCCUUUACAGACACUGCUGACCUGGUCUUUGCCACCUUUGGGUUGUUGGGUAUGGAGACAAGAUUUCGGAGUGCGUGAACAGGCGCCUUCAGGCCACUCAACUUGGGGAUUGUCACGGAUGCGGUUGACAGACUAGCCAUGGUUAUCGGUUAUCACGAUAUGGAAGGAGAAUUGCAGAAUAUUUGGAGUAUAGAGUAAUUGGGAAUUGCUCGAUUAAUUAUAAAGAAUGGAAUGAUGGAGAGAUAACAACAGGAUUACAUGACGUGUGUGUUUAUGGUGAACGAACUACUAUGGUCUAUAGGAUAAGAUAGGAUAAUGGAUGGACAAAGUGAGACCAAUCAAAAAGUUCCAACGAAUAUGUGUUCCCUUGAUCAUAUCCAAAUGAUCUCCGUAUAAGUGUACGACAUAAGAGAUAAGACUUACAAUUUCUAAGUAACAUACCCAAAAUCAAUCAAAUAUGCCACUAAUCUUCUGUCUGCAUGGCCAAUUGGCCAUGGACUAUGCUUUUAAAUUUCUUAACUGCAAAAAAAAAUGUUCUAAAAACAUAUUUACAGAAUACAGAUAGGAAAAACUUUC